rnacentral:rRNA from 1 species
AUUGAACGCUGGCGGCAGGCCUAACACAUGCAAGUCGAGCGGAUGAGAGGAGCUUGCUCCUUGAUUUAGCGGCGGACGGGUGAGUAAUGCCUAGGAAUCUGCCUGGUAGUGGGGAGUAACGUUCCGAAAGGAACGCUAAUACCGCAUACGUCCUACGGGAGAAAGCAGGGACCUUCGGGCCUUGCGCUAUCAGAUGAGCCUAGGUCGGAUUAGCUAGUUGGUGAGGUAAUGGCUCACCAAGGCGACGAUCCGUAACUGGUCUGAGAGGAUGAUCAGUCACACUGGAACUGAGACACGGUCCAGACUCCUACGGGAGGCAGCAGUGGGGAAUAUUGGACAAUGGGCGAAAGCCUGAUCCAGCCAUGCCGCGUGUGUGAAGAGGUCUCGAUGUAAGCACUUUAAGUGGGAGGAAGGGCAUUAACCUAAUACGUUAGUGUUUUGACGUUACCGACAGAAUAAGCACCGGCUAACUUCGUGCCAGCAGCCGCGGUAAUACGAAGGGUGCAAGCGUUAAUCGGAAUUACUGGGCGUAAAGCGCGCGUAGGUGGUUCGUUAAGUUGGAUGUGAAAGCCCCGGGCUCAACCUGGGAACUGCAUCCAAAAGCUGGCGAGCUAGAGUACGGUAGAGGGUGGUGGAAUUU